AGGGGGGUACGGUGUCGGAUUAUUGGGCGUAAGCGCGCGCAGGCGGUUUCUUAAGUCUGAUGUGAAAGCCCACGGCUCAACCGUGGAGGGUCAUUGGAAACUGGGGAACUUGAGUGCAGAAGAGAAGAGCGGAAUUCCACGUGUAGCGGUGAAAUGCGUAGAGAUGUGGAGGAACACCAGUGGCGAAGGCGGCUCUUUGGUCUGUAACUGACGCUGAGGCGCGAAAGCGUGGGGAGCAAACAGGAUUAGAUACCCUGGUAGUCCACGCCGUAAACGAUGAGUGCUAAGUGUUAGAGGGUUUCCGCCCUUUAGUGCUGCAGCAAACGCAUUAAGCACUCCGCCUGGGGAGUACGGCCGCAAGGCUGAAACUCAAAGGAAUUGACGGGGGCCCGCACAAGCGGUGGAGCAUGUGGUUUAAUUCGAAGCAACGCGAAGAACCUUACCAGGUCUUGACAUCCUCUGACAACCCUAGAGAUAGGGCCUUCCCCUUCGGGGGACAGAGUGACAGGUGGUGCAUGGUUGUCGUCAGCUCGUGUCGUGAGAUGUUGGGUUAAGUCCCGCAACGAGCGCAACCCUUGACCUUAGUUGCCAGCAUUCAGUUGGGCACUCUAAGGUGACUGCCGGUGACAAACCGGAGGAAGGUGGGGAUGACGUCAAAUCAUCAUGCCCCUUAUGACCUGGGCUACACACGUGCUACAAUGGAUGGUACAAAGGGUUGCGAGACCGCGAGGUUUAGCCAAUCCCAUAAAACCAUUCUCAGCUCGGAUUGCAGGCUGCAACUCGCCUGCAUGAAGCCGGAAUCGCUAGGAAUCGUGGAUUAGCAUGCCGCGGUGAAUACGAUCCCGGGACUUUGUACACACUGCCCGCUCACACCGCGAGAAUUCUGUAACGCCCUAAAUCAGUUGGGUCCUCUUCUCCCUGAGCCCUCCCUCCUACGGUCUGCUGUUCAAAUGGGGUCACUUAUAAAAAGGUGGAACGAGGAAUUUCAAA
rnacentral:rRNA from 2 species